rnacentral:misc_RNA from 1 species
GAUGAAGAACGCAGCGAAAUGCGAUAAGUAAUGUGAAUUGCAGAAUUCAGUGAAUCAUCGAAUCUUUGAACGCACAUUGCGCCCCCUGGUAUUCCGGGGGGCAUGCCUGUUCGAGCGUCAUUACAACCCUCAAGCUCUGCUUGGUGUUGGGCCCCGCCGCCCCGGCGGGCCCUAAAAUUAGUGGCGGUGCCGUCCGGCUCCGAGCGUAGUAAUUCUUCUCGCUCUGGAGGUCCGGGUGUGUGCUCGCCAGCAACCCCCAAUUUUUUUCAGGUUGACCUCGGAUCAGGUAGGGAUACCCGCUGAACUUAAGCAUAUCAAUAAGCGGAGGA